GACGAACGCUGGCGGCGUGCCUAAUACAUGCAAGUCGAACGAGAGCGCCCGGUGCUUGCUCUGGUCACUCUAGUGGCGAACGGGUGAGUAACACGUGGGUAACCUGCCUAUCAGAGGGGGAUAACAUUGGGAAACGGGUGCUAAAACCGCAUAAGCUUUUGAACCGCAUGGUUUGAAGGGGAAAAGCGGCGCUUGUGUCUGUUGUUGGAUGGUCCCGGGGGGCAUUAGGGAGUGGGUGGGGUAACGGCUUUCCAAGGCCGUGAUGCUUAGCCGACCUGAGGGGGUGAUAGGCCACAUUGGGACUGAGACACGGCCCAGACUCCUACGGGAGGCAGCAGUAGGGAAUCUUCCGCAAUGGACGCAAGUCUGACGGAGCAACGCCGCGUGAGUGAAGAAGGUCUUCGGAUCGUAAAACUCUGUUGUUAGAGAAGAAUAAGUGCUAGAGUAACUGUUAGCGGCUUGACGGUACCUAACCAGAAAGCCACGGCUAACUACGUG
rnacentral:rRNA from 1 species